rnacentral:rRNA from 1 species
CCUACAUGAAGCUGGAGUUACUAGUAAUCGCAGAUCAGAAUGCUGCGGUGAAUGCGUUCCCGGGUCUUGUACACACCGCCCGUCACACCACGGAAGUUGGGGGCGCCCGAAGCCACUUAGCUAACCCUUUUGGGAAGCGAGUGUCGAAGGUGAAAUCAAUAACUGGGGUGAAGUCGUAACAAGGUAAC